ACCAGUGCUGGCUUGAAAUGGGCGUCAUUAUGCAUCUCAGCCAAUGAGAGCAUUGAGGGUGGGCCUCAUACUACUGCAGCGCUCACAUGACCCAGGACAGAAAGAAAGGGGCGGGGACAGAAACAUGGAGACAGGUACAGAUCUUUGACAUGUUCAUUUUAAACUGUUCCAGAGGGCAGUGUUGAUACAACUAAAGUUAUUUGGAACCAAAGUUGAGUUUCUUAUCAUCGGAGUACUUCAUGUCUGAAGUAUCACUUAAAUGCAUUGCACGCUGUUGAUGGCAGCAAACAAACCCAAACAAACAGAGGUGGGAAGCUUGGGCAGACUACGUUGGAUCAGCUUGUGGGAGGAGUCUAGAUAAACCAAAGAAAGACAAGCUAACAAACGCCACAGUGAAGUGAGUAGCUACAAACUGCAGGCCGAUUAGUGUUGUUGAAGAAGUCGGUCUGAGGAACGUUCUUAGGAUCAACAAAUGACGGCAUGUAUGAGCCUCAAGACGCACCAUCACAAAAAGAACACAUGAGCUGUAGAAAAAGGAGAGACUACGAAAGCCACGGUGUUACAACGUGCACCAGCUGUUGGUCUCUCUGGAGACUACUGGACGUAGCUGGGUAACCAUGGUUACCUGGGAGUUACAGAAACAUGCAGAACAUGUGAUUCAUGUUGCACAGCAGUGGGACAUUUGAAAUAAAGUCAGCACACUCAGUACAGAUAGUGCAUCAAAUAUGAUGCUGCUGCCAGACGUCUGCCUUUGAACACGUCCCUGCAUCGCGCACAACACCAAGGUUGCCAUGGCAAUCACAGCUAACAGGGACAACGUGCACAGCUGGAACCCUGCAGGUGAUGGAGAGCUCAGAUGAUGACCCCGCCUACGUGGUCAAAUUCAAGUCUACAUUCAGACCAGACCUGGAGACACGCAAGCAAAAUGCCAACAUUGUAUAUGUGAAACCUGCUGCUGCACUGGAGCCAGAUUCAAGGAGCUCAAGUGUUUACCCAGAUCUUACUGAACUUACUGAAGGAACAGAGGGUUGUUGGAGGGAAACCUGUGGAAGCAACAACAUCUGAGCCACCAGAGAAAAAGUUGGCCCUAUUGGCUGCUUCAUCAGAGUGUGAACAGGAGGAAGACUCAGCUGAGAACAGUGUGGUGGAUACAGAGCAGAGCCCACCAUCAGUACAGAGGCCUGUCCAUUAGAGUGCUGCUCCAAACAUGCAGCACAUGUACUUGGCCACAGCUGCAACAUCUGUACCUGUGAAAGGUUGUUCUCUGUUGCUGCUCAUAUUGUACAGAAGAAGAGAGUUUCUUUAUCAUCAGAAAAUGUCAGUGAGCUUGUGAGUCUUAGCAGCUGGCUCAGUGCAGAGGAGGAAGAACAUGUCAAGUCAGAGGAAGAUAAAUGAAGUUCAUGUUGUCAACUCAACCUGGACGACUGAAAGUGUUUUUCUUUGUCUUGUUUCUGACUGAGAUUCUCCAAAGGAAAUCCAGUACAAACACACACUUCACACACUCAAAGUCCUGCACAGUAAAUGAGCUGAUGAGCGUUUGUGCUGCUGCCUGAUAACAGAAAAAUAGUUCUGCUGGUUCCUGUUCUGAAAACACACAUUUAUAAAUGUUCACUCGCUGUUGAUCAAAGGUGCCUGUUAUAAUGUUAUGAUGGUGGCUCUGGACUCUGAGGGGAACUUUGUUUGGAACAAACUAGAUCAAAUGUUGACGUCCUGGCAGAGGCAAAGAACUUUGAUUUGAUAUUUGAUUUGAUUAGAUUCAUGUUUCA